rnacentral:ncRNA from 1 species
CCAAAUAAUCCUGGAAACCGAAAGAUGAAGAACUAUAUGUGAGCAGGAUGAAGCUAAAGGAAACUCUGGUGUGAUCUUCUGGUCCAAACAUACAAAACGAUCAUCCGAAGUGAUUCUGACAUGCAGAUCAAUCGUCCGAAGUGAUUCUGACGUGCAGAUUAAUCGUUUGCUGAUUCCCUCCAAAUUUUUCCUCAGUAUAGCUGAAGUGCAGAAUGAAGCUGUUAUAUUCGGUAAAGCGAAUGAUUAGAGGAAUUUUGGGACGAAAUAUCUUUAACCUGAUCAUAGAAAUUUUCUAUGAAUAUGACAUUUCGUUUGCUUGAAUAAAGCAUAGACAUUAAAUGUAUGCUCAAAAAUGGGCCAUUUUAUGGGAA